GGAAUUUUGGACAAUGGGCGCAAGCCUGAUCCAGCCAUGCCGCGUGCGGGAAGAAGGCCUUCGGGUUGUAAACCGCUUUUAGCCGGAAAGAAAAGGCACGGGCCAAUACCCCGUGUUCUUGACGGUACCGGCGGAAUAAGCACCGGCUAACGUCGUGCCAGCAGCCGCGGUAAUACGUAGGGUGCGGGCGUUAAACGGAAUUACUGGGCGUAAAGCGUGCGCAGGCGGUCCGUUGUGUCCUGUGUGAAAGCCCCGGGCUCAACCUGGGAAUGGCAUGGGAAACUGGCGGGCUGGAGUGUGGCAGAGGGGGGUGGAAUUCCGCGUGUAGCAGUGAAAUGCGUAGAGAUGCGGAGGAACACCGAUGGCGAAGGCAGCCCCCUGGGCCAACACUGACGCUCAGGCACGAAAGCGUGGGGAGCAAA
rnacentral:rRNA from 1 species